rnacentral:rRNA from 1 species
UACGUAGGGACCAAGCGUUGUUCGGAUUUACUGGGCGUAAAGGGCGCGUAGGCGGCGUGACAAGUCAGUUGUGAAAUCUCCGAGCUUAACUCGGAACGGUCAACUGAUACUGUUGUGCUAGAGUGCAGAAGGGGCAAUCGGAAUUCUUGGUGUAGCGGUGAAAUGCGUAGAUAUCAAGAGGAACACCUGAGGUGAAGACGGGUUGCUGGGCUGACACUGACGCUGAGAUACGAAAGCUAGGGGAGCAAACAGG